UUGAUGGGUUAUGUAUGUUACUCACCAG
rnacentral:piRNA from 1 species